rnacentral:rRNA from 1 species
UACGUAGGGACCGAGCGUUGUCCGGAAUCAUUGGGCGUAAAGAGCGUGUAGGCGGCUUGUUAAGUCUUGCGUGAAAUCUCGGGGCUCAACCCCGAGCGGUCGUGAGAAACUGGCAGGCUAGAGUGCGGGAGAGGAGAGUGGAAUUCCUGGUGUAGCGGUGAAAUGCGCAGAUAUCAGGAAGAACACCCGUGGCGAAGGCGGCUCACUGGACCAUUACUGACGCUGAGGCACGAAAGCUAGGGGAGCAAACAGG